AGGGGCCCGUUGUGACUUACCAGGGUAUCUAAUCCUGUUUGCUCCCCACGCUUUCUGCAUGAGCGUCAGUAUUGGCCCAGGGGGCUGCCUUCGCCAUCCGUAUUCCUCCACAUCUCUACGCAUUUCAUUGCUACACGUGGAAUUCUACCCCCCUCUGCCAUACUCUAGCCCGCCAGUCACAAAUGCAGUUCCCAGGUUAAGCCCGGGGAUUUCACAUUUGUCUUAGCGAACCGCCUGCGCACGCUUUACGCCCAGUAAUUCCGAUUAACGCUUGCACCCUACGUAUUACCGCGGCUGCUGGCACGUAGUUAGCCGGUGCUUAUUCUUCCGGUACCGUCAUCCACCCCGGGUAUUAACCAGGAUGAUUUCUUUCCGGACAAAAGUGCUUUACAACCCGAAGGCCUUCUUCACACACGCGGCAUUGCUGGAUCAGGGUUGCCCCCAUUGUCCAAAAUUCCCCACUGCUGCCUCCCGUAGGAGUCUGGGCCGUGUUCUCAGUCCCAGUGUGGCUGGUCGUCCUCUCAGACCAGCUACAGAUCGUCGCCUUGGGUAGGCCUUUACCCCACCAACUAGCUAAUCUGCCCAUCGGGCCGCCCCUGUAGCGAGAGGUCCUAAGAUCCCCCCCCUUUCCUUCCUAGAGCGUAUGCGGUAUUAAAUCCGGCUUUCGCCGGGGCUAUCCCCCCACUACAGGACACGUUCCGAUGUAUUACUCACCCGUUCGCCACUCGCCACAGGAUUGCCCCCGGCUGCCGUUCGAAUUGAUGUGAAGGCAGGCCCCAGCGUUCAUUCGAGCCAGGUAUCAAAUCUC
rnacentral:rRNA from 1 species